rnacentral:rRNA from 1 species
CCUACGGGAGGCAGCAGUGGGGAAUAUUGCACAAUGGGGGAAACCCUGAUGCAGCGACGCCGCGUGAGUGAAGAAGUCUUUCGGUAUGUAAAGCUCUAUCAGCAGGGAAGAAAAUGACGGUACCUGAUUAAGAAGCCCCGGCUAACUACGUGCCAGCAGCCGCGGUAAUACGUAGGGGGCAAGCGUUAUCCGGAUUUACUGGGUGUAAAGGGAGCGUAGACGGGAGCACAAGUCUGGGGUGAAAUGCCGGGGCUUAACCCCGGAACUGCUUUGGAAACUGUGCAGCUGGAGUGCAGGAGAGGUAAGUGGAAUUCCUGGUGUAGCGGUGAAAUGCGUAGAUAUUAGGAGGAACACCAGUGGCGAAGGCGGCUUACUGGACUGUAACUGACGUUGAGGCUCGAAAGCGUGGGGAGCAAACAGGAUUAGAUACCCCAGUAGUC